UACGUAGGUGGCAAGCGUUGUCCGGAAUUAUUGGGCGUAAAGCGCGCGCAGGCGGUCUCUUAAGUCUGAUGUGAAAGCCCACGGCUCAACCGUGGAGGGUCAUUGGAAACUGGGGGACUUGAGUACAGAAGAGGAAAGCGGAAUUCCACGUGUAGCGGUGAAAUUCGUAGAUAUUGGGAAGAACACCGGUGGCGAAGGCGGCUCACUGGCUCAUUACUGACGCUCAGGCGCGAUAGCGUGGGGAUCAAACAGG
rnacentral:rRNA from 1 species